GAAAAUGAGAAGAAGAAGGCCCUGCCCUGUGUGAAGGGUCAGAUGGAGUUGGUGAGAAUCAAGAGAACUCCAGCUUUCUCCAGUUUCCUUUCAGCCUGGCUUCAGGAUUCUUGGAACAGAGUAGAGUCGGGGCCAGCUGUUGACUUGAACUCUGUUACCCUGAUAUUAAGUCCAGUAACCUGUGGAAAUUCCAGAGUAAAUCCAAUGGACAUGGAAAAACAGCUUAAGCCACAGACGUUCUGGUUUUGUAGCAGAAGCACAAACAGUUGCUUAUCUAGCAGACCAUCACUUACCUGAGAAGCAGAGAUGCUUGUUUUGACUUCUGUUAUUUCCUGGGUGAGAUACAGUUUAAGAAAGAAUUGAAGAAAAGAAGAAACUCACAUUCAGGUAUAUUUUUUUGUGUACCUGUUUAACCCUGAGCAAGUCUUCACUUUUCUUGAAUUCAAAGCCAGGUCUUUGAUUCCAACACCACCAGCACAGGUUCCUCUAAACCAUCCUCCAUGAAAACUUCUGUUGCUUUGUUAUUGUCAUCAUUAAUGAUAUGCAAGAAGAAAAAAUAAGACCCCACCUUUGAAACUGCUGAAUAGAGUCAUAGCAUUGAAGCAGAUUUUGCCAGGACCCAGGCUGUUAACUCAUUAUAAAUGAUGC
rnacentral:lncRNA from 1 species